rnacentral:rRNA from 1 species
UACGAAGGGGGCUAGCGUUGCUCGGAAUCACUGGGCGUAAAGCGCACGUAGGCGGGUCGUUAUGAUCAGGGGUGAAAUCCUGGAGCUCAACUCCAGAACUGCCUUUGAUACUGGCGAUCUCGAGUUCGGGAGAGGUGAGUGGAACUCGCGAGUGUAGAGGUGAAAUUCGUAGAUAUUGCAAGAACACCAGUGGCGAAGGCGGCUCACUGGCCCGAUACUACGCUGAGGUGCGAAAGCGUGGGGAGCAAACAGGAUUAGAAACCCUGAGAGUCCUA